UCUGCUCUGUUUCACGACAAGUACAACUGACAAACACAACUGAAAAACAAUCCUAAUUUCACUCCCACUAACAGAUCCACGUUCAAGGUGGUUACAACAAUUCUCAUCUUCUAUAUAAAUGUUCUUCAACAUCCUCUAAAUAAAUAAAAAACGCACCAUGUUUUAAUCAUAAACCAAUGCCCCACCAGAUCCAUAUCUUCUUUUCGAAAACCUCUUUCAAUUUCACAAAGCUAAAUUCGUUUGAAAACAACAAUUCUGACGGAGCUGCAGCAUGCCUCUCGAUUUUACUCAUCUCUCUAAUCUUAAUUCUUUAAAAAGAGAAUGGAAGAUCAUGAAACCAUAGAAGUCUGAUUUUCAAGGUAGAAUGCCGCUGCAUAGGGAUAUAUGAUACAGACAUCCAUCAGAUCGCAGUUAGUCUCAAAAUUCCAGAAUACUAUAUGAUUAUGAACUUUGAGAUUUUAGAUAAUGGAGGGAGUUAUAGAGCCAGUUCUCAUCCCUACAAGAUCAACUUCAUUAACCAAGUUUGUGAGCACUGAGCAGAUAUCAAACUUGGAAUUCCGUUUCAACUUUGUCACUUUCCCUGAUAUACAAGCUCGAUCUGACAAUGACAAAGUUUUCAUCGACGUUAUUGGUGAGAUCAUUGGAAUGAACGAACUCAAAGUGGUUAUUGUUUCGGGACGACAUACAAAAUUAUGAAAUUUACAGCUCAGAGAUAUUGGAGAAUCAGUCAUCGAUGUUACUUUAUGGGAUAAAUGGGCAGAAGAUUUGCACUCUUAUGUUAAAUGCAAUAAAGUUGUUCCAAUAGUCAUAUAUAACGGUAUAGUCAUAUAUGCCUUCACAAUUAUUAUUAUUAUCUAAUUUCACCUUAGAAGAUCAGUUGACUUAUUUCUUUUUAACUAUUGAGUUCUCAUAUAUUCUUUUUCUAUAGUUAAACCUCGCGCGAUUGAUUUUUUUCAAUCUUCCCCUUAUUGUCCCUUUUUCCAUUUUGAAAAACAAGAAGAA